rnacentral:rRNA from 1 species
UCCAGACUCCUACGGGAGGCAGCAGUGGGGGAUAUUGCACAAUGGGGGGAACCCUGAUGCAGCGACGCCGCGUGAGUGAAGAAGUAUUUCGGUAUGUAAAGCUCUAUCAGCAGGGAAGAAAGAGACGAAAGUCUUGUGACAGUACCUGACUAAGAAGCCCCGGCUAACUACGUGCUAGCAGCCGCGGUAAUACGUAGGGGGCAAGCGUUAUCCGGAUUUACUGGGCGUAAAGGGCGCGUAGGUGGGCGCUUAAGUCAGGUGUGAAAACUCCGGGCUCAACCUGGAGACUGCACUUGAAACUGGGUGUCUUGAGGGCAGGGGAGGAAAGUGGAAUUCCUAGUGUAGCGGUGAAAUGCGUAGAUAUUAGGAGGAACACCAGUGGCGAAGGCGACUUUCUGGACUGUACCUGACGCUGAGGCGCGAAAGCGUGGGUAGCGAACGGGAUUAGAUACCCCAGUA